rnacentral:rRNA from 1 species
AUAUUGCACAAUGGGCGCAAGCCUGAUGCAGCCAUGCCGCGUGUAUGACGAAGGCCUUCGGGUUGUAAAGUACUUUCAGCGGGGGGGAAGGUAGUGAGGUUAAUAACCUCAUUCAUUGACGUUACCCGCAGAACAAGCACCGGCUAACUCCGUGCCAUCAGCCGCGGUAAUACGGAGGGUGCAAGCGUUAAUCGGAAUUACUGGGCGUAAAGCGCACGCAGGCGGCGUGUCAAGUCGGAUGUGAAAUCCCCGGGCUCAACCCGGGAACUGCAUUCGAAACUGGCAUGCUAGAGUCUUGUAGAGGGGGGUAGAAUUCCAGGUGUAGCGGUGAAAUGCGUAGAGAUCUGGAGGAAUACCGGUGGCGAAGGCGGCCCCCUGGACAAAGACUGACGCUCAGGUGCGAAAGCGUGGGGAGCAAAC